UAUAAUUAUUUUUAAUAAUAUAUUAGAAAUGAAAUGUUAUUCGUUUUUAAAGGUAUCUAGUUCUUUAAGAAAUAAAUUUAAUUUAGAAAUUUUAUAUUAUUUAAUUUAAUAUAUUAAUUAAAUAAUUAUUUAGUUUUAAUAUUUUAUGGGAUAAGCUAUAAAAUAAAAUUUUAUAAAUUUGUAAGUAAAUUAAUAAAUAUAAGCUUAAAAAUAGUUAUUAUUAAUAAAAAUGUUAUAAUUUAUUUUUAUUAGAGGUAUUAUUUAUUUAUAUUUUAAAUUUUUAUUAAAGUAUUUAUUUUAAUAAAAAAAAUAAAAAAAUAAUGAUAAAAUUAGUAUAAAUUAUUGUAUAAAUAAAUUUAAAUGAUAAGUUUUUGUAAAGAAUUCGGCAAAAAUAAUAUUCGCCUGUUUAACAAAAACAUGUCUUUAUGAAUUGAAUUUAAAGUCUAACCUGCCCACUGAAAUUUUUAAAUGGCCGCAGUAUAUUGACUGUGCAAAGGUAGCAUAAUCAUUAGUCUUUUAAUUGAAGGCUGGAAUGAAUGGUUGGACGAGAUAUUGACUGUUUCAUAAAAAUUUAUAUUAGAAUUUUAUUUUUUAGUUAAAAAGCUAAAAUUUAUUUAAAAGACGAGAAGACCCUAUAAAUCUUUAUAUUUAAAUUAUUAUAAUUUUAUAGAAAAAUUUUAUUGUGAUAAUUAAUAAUAUUUUAUUGGGGUGAUAUUAAAAUUUAAUAAACUUUUAAUUUUAAGUUUCAUUAAUUUAUGAAUAAGUGAUCCGUUAUUAACGAUUAAAAGAAUAAGUUACUUUAGGGAUAACAGCGUAAUUUUUUUGGAGAGUUCAUAUCGAUAAAAAAGAUUGCGACCUCGAUGUUGGAUUAAGAUAUAAUUUUAGGUGUAGUUGCUUAAAUUUUAAGUCUGU
rnacentral:rRNA from 1 species